UUUUCCCCCUUUUCCAGUGUUUGAUUGGAGGAAAAUAUUUUCCUUUUGGAAAAUCAACUACAAAACACGGGAAAAUGCCUUACAAUUUUUGGGAAAUUGUCUUACCGAUUCAAUCUCCGUAAGACAUUUUCCUAAAGCUGUCAGGCAUUCUUCUCCCUUCAUCCAGUAAGCUCCCUUCACCCAUUCUUCUCCCUUCCUUCAUUCCUUCAAAUUUCCGUUAUUGAAAGCUUCAUUUUGGUUCAGAACUGGAAACCGCUGCUGGUACGUUGCAAUUCCAUUUCCAUUUUUCGACGGUUACUUCGUUUAUUUUUCAUUUCUUUUUGGCUUUUAUGCUCCGUUUAUUUUUCAUUUCUUUUUGGCUGCUACUGCCGUUGCCAUUUCUGCUUUCAAAUGAUGGGUAAGCUUCCUUCUUCUUUUAUUCUUCGUUCCGUUGUUAAUGCUGGAAGCCAUCUUUCUAAUUUCCACUAUUUCUUCUUCUUCUAACACCAUUGCUACCCACAUCGACUGCCUAAGUAAGAAACCCAUGUCUAGAAACCCACUCUUUAUGGUUGUAUUAUCUCUAGUAAUCUUUUGUAAAUAUAAUGUUUUCAUCUUUGUUGUUGAUUUAUAUUUUGCCCUCUUUAUACAUAAUGUUCUGUGUAGAGAAUGAGUAUAUAUGUUGUAUCCUGUUGAAUGGGAAUAUAUAAUUGAACCUAUUUUACUUUUCUUUUCCCAGUUGGUUGUGGAAAGAAUGUUUUUGUGGUUUUUCUUUGUGAGCGGAAUAAUACAUUGAGUGGAGAUGCAAGUUAAUUAUAUCUGUUUUUUUUCAACAACUUGGCGUGUAAAGCUCUUGGUAGAGAAGUUACAUGUUAUGAUUUUCUCCAUUUGGCUUGUUGGCUGGCCUGGGUAUGUAUCUAUCUGCAACUAAUAUAAUUUGUUAUGUUAACAAUUUUUUGUAUAGUCCACCUUCAUUCUUUGAGCAUUACUUCAGAAAAGAACUUCCUCUUUUGUACAAAUAUCUCCAGGAAGCUCCUGCUGAAAAGUUAGUACUUCUCUUUUGGAGCUCAAUCACGUAUUCAUGAUUCAUGAAUGCUUCAAGCCAUUUUCAUGGUUAAUUUUGCACGAAACCCAUCUUUUAUCUUUGUAAUUUGACUAUAAAGUCGACAAUAUUUGGAGUUUGGGUUUGAAUUUUAACAUAGCAACCACCUACCUUUACAGCAUAUGUAAAGUUUACUGCUGCCAAAAGAAUUGUUUGCAGAGGAGACCAAAGUCCAGAAACUCUUUUUCUUUUGUGCUUCCACAACUGAUUUCUCCAUUACCUCAACUUUCAGCUUCAAAGCUUGAGCUACUGUCUCUUUCUGUCAUUGAUUGUCUGCAGGGAAAGAAAAAGUCAAGAUCAAGGAUGGUUUUGCUGAGGGGAAAGACCUGGUUGUGUCUGUUAUGUCUACAAUGGGGGAAGAGUAGAUCUGUGCUCUCAAAGACAUUGGUCCUAAGUAGUUUCAAAUUCAUUUAUUGCAAAUCUUAGAUGGAACCAUAAAAGACUUUGGCAGUACUAAAUGCGGUUUUGAUGUUUUGUUUUGGGUUUGGAUAGAAAAAAGAGAACAACAAUAUAACUAGUUUCUUGUUGUGCUAUGGAUUACUGUUUUGCUUUUCUUUUUCAAUAAUUUUUAUUAUCUCGUCUUUA